rnacentral:misc_RNA from 1 species
GAUGAAGAACGCAGCGAAAUGCGAUAAGUAGUGUGAAUUGCAGAAUUCAGUGAAUCAUCGAAUCUUUGAACGCACAUUGCGCCCCUUGGUAUCCCGAGGGGCAUGCCUGUUCGAGCGUCAUUUCACCACUCAAGCCUGGCUUGGUGUUGGGCGACGUCCCCUUUGGGGACGCGCCUUGAAACGCUCGGCGGCGUGGCACCGGCUUUAAGCGUAGCAGAAUCUUUCGCUUUGGAAGUCGGGGCCCCGUCUGCCGGAAGACCUACUCGCAAGGUUGACCUCGGAUCAGACAGGGAUACCCGCUGAACUUAAGCAUAUCAAUAAGCGGAGGA